rnacentral:rRNA from 1 species
GACGAACGCUGGCGGCGUGCUUAACACAUGCAAGUCGAACGGAAAGGCCCUGCUUUUGUGGGGUGCUCGAGUGGCGAACGGGUGAGUAGCACGUGAGUAACCUGCCCUUGACUUUGGGAUAACUUCAGGAAACUGGGGCUAAUACCGGAUAGGAGCUCCUGCUGCAUGGUGGGGGUUGGAAAGUUUCGGCGGUUGGGGAUGGACUCGCGGCUUAUCAGCUUGUUGGUGGGGUAGUGGCUUACAAAGGCUUUGACGGGUAGCCGGCCUGAGAGGGUGACCGGCCACAUUGGGACUGAGAUACGGCCCAGACUCCUACGGGAGGCAGCAGUGGGGAAUAUUGCACAAUGGGCGGAAGCCUGAUGCAGCAACGCCGCGUGCGGGAUGACGGCCUUCGGGUUGUAAACCGCUUUCGCCUGUGACGAAGCGUGAGUGACGGUAAUGGGUAAAGAAGCACCGGCUAACUACGUG